ACGUAGGGGGCUAGCGUUAUCCGGAUUUAUUGGGUUUAAAGGGAGCGUAGAUGGAUUUUUAAGUCAGUUGUGAAAGUUCGGGGCUCAACCCCGUAAUUGCAGUUGAUACUGGAUAUCUUGAGUACAGUUGAGGUGGCGGAAUUCGUGGUGUAGCGGUGAAAUGCUUAGAUAUCACGAGGAACUCCGAUUGCGAAGGCAGCUCACUGGGGUACAACUGACACUGAGGCUCGAAAGUGUGGGUAUC
rnacentral:rRNA from 1 species